rnacentral:rRNA from 1 species
UACGUAGGGUCCAAGCGUUAUCCGGAAUCACUGGGCGUAAAGCGUGUGUAGGCGGCGUGUUAAGUGAGAUGCGAAAUCCUGUGGCUCAACCAUAUGGACUGUAUCUCAUACUGGCACGCUAGAAGACGGCAGAGGCAAGUGGAAUUAUCGGUGUAGCAGUGAAAUGCGUAGAGAUCGAUAGGAACACCAAUGGCGAAGGCAGCUUGCUGGGCCGCCCUUGACGCUGAGACACGAAAGCGUGGGGAGCGAACAGG